rnacentral:rRNA from 1 species
UGGGGAAUAUUGCACAAUGGGCGCAAGCCUGAUGCAGCCAUGCCGCGUGUAUGAAGAAGGCCUUCGGGUUGUAAAGUACUUUCAGCGGGGAGGAAGGCGAUAAGGUUAAUAACCUUGUCGAUUGACGUUACCCGCAGAAGAAGCACCGGCUAACUCCGUGCCAGCAGCCGCGGUAAUACGGAGGGUGCAAGCGUUAAUCGGAAUUACUGGGCAUAAAGCGCACGCAGGCGGUCUGUCAAGUCGGAUGUGAAAUCCCCGGGCUCAACCUGGGAACUGCAUUCGAAACUGGCAGGCUAGAGUCUUGUAGAGGGGGGUAGAAUUCCAGGUGUAGCGGUGAAAUGCGUAGAGAUCUGGAGGAAUACCGGUGGCGAAGGCGGCCCCCUGGACAAAGACUGACGCUCAGGUGCGAAAGCGUGGGGAGCAAACA